CCUACGGGAGGCAGCAGUGGGGAAUAUUGCACAAUGGGGGAAACCCUGAUGCAGCGACGCCGCGUGAGUGAAGAAGUAUCUCGGUACGUAAAGCUCUAUCAGCCGGGAAGAAAAUGACGGUACCUGACUAAGAAGCACCGGCUAACUACGUGCCAGCAGCCGCGGUUAUACGUAGGGGGCAAGCGUUAUCCGGAUUUACUGGGGGUAAAGGGAGGGUAGACGGCAGCACAAGUCUGGAGUGAAAUCCCGGGGCUUAACCCCGGAACUGCUUUGGAAACUGGGCGGCUGGAGUGCAGGAGGGGUAAGCGGAAUGCGUGGUGUAGCGGUGAAAUGCGUAGAUAUUGGGAGGAACACCGGUGGCGAAGGCGGCUUACUGGACUGUAACUGACGUUGAGGCUCGAAAGCGUGGGGAGCAAACAGGAUUAGAUACCCCUGUAGUC
rnacentral:rRNA from 1 species